rnacentral:rRNA from 1 species
ACGGCUCAGUAACACGUGGCUAAUCUGCCCUUAGGACGAGAACAACCCCGGGAAACUGGGGCUAACUCUCGAUAGGCGAAGAACUCUGGAAUGAGUCUUUACCUAAAUAGUGCAACGUUAUCCUCGUUGCAUCGCCUAAGGAUGAGGCCGCGACCGAUCAGGUUGUUGGCGAGGUAAUGGCUCACCAAGCCUUUUACCGGUGCGGGCCGUGAGAGCGGGAGCCCGGAGAUGGGCACUGAGACAAGGGCCCAGGCCCUACGGGGCGCAGCAGUCGCGAAAACUUUGCAAUAAGCGAAAGCUUGACAGGGCUAUCCCGAGUGCCAUCCGCUGAGGAAGGCUUUUACCCAGUCUAGAACGCUGGGGGAAUAAGGAGAGGGCAAGUCUGGUGUCAGCCGCCGCGGUAAUACCAGCUCUCCGAGUGGUGUGGAUGUUUAUUGGGCCUAAAGCAUCCGUAGCUGGCUAGGUCAGUCCCUUGUUAAAUCCACCGAAUUAAUCGUUGGAUUGCGGGGGAUACUGCUUGGCUAGGGGACGAGAGAGGCAGACGGUAUUUUCGGGGUAGGGGUGAAAUCCUAUAAUCCCGGGAAGACCACCAGUGGCGAAGGCUGUCUGCUAGAACGCGCCCGACGGUGAGGGAUGAAAGCUGGGGGAGCGAACCGGAUUAGAUACCCGGGUAGUCCCAGCUGUAAACGAUGCAGACUAGGUGUUUGGACGGCCACGUGCCGUUCUAGUGCCGCAGGGAAGCUGUUAAGUCUGCCGCCUGGGGAGUACGAUCGCAAGAUUGAAACUUAAAGGAAUUGGCGGGGGGAGCAC